AGAGACAAGGCAGAGGAAAAGGGGUGAGAACAGGAGAGCAAAACACAAAGACAACUUUAUUCCUGUCAACACUGGGGUUAAAUGAGGGUGCCUUAGGUGUGAGAUCUUCAGGGCUGUUCUGGCCUCCCCCUGCUCCUGCCUGACAAUUUGGGAGAAAAGAUGUCCUUGAGAGCUGCUCAGAUGUGCCAGAAAAUGGAAGCUGCACAGCAAGGAGAAGUAUAAACACAUAAAACACUUUCUGGCAAAACAGAAGUUCUGCCUCAUUGCAAGUGUGAAAGAUGACCUGAAACCCUUUCUGUUUCCUUCCUGCAAGUUCCAGGAGGAUUGUGUCCUGCAGAGGAAAGAAAAAGAGGGAUGUGCUGGGCUCCAGGGAAAUGGGAGCUAAGGGCAGCUGAUUUGGUUGCCUCCAGAAAUGCCUCACUUGUAUACUUCUCAAAUGCAGUUGAGAUGUGGAUGAAAACAAAGCAAAGUGCUUGCUGGAAAAGGAAACAGCUGCCUCUCCAACUCCAAGCCACCCACAGCGUGCGAUGGGCAGGACAUAUCACUCUCUCUGGAAACACAGUGUAUUCCUGAGAGGCAGCUCCAGAAGUGCCCAGGGCUGAGGAGCUCUGGGACAGAGCAUCCUGUCCAAGCAGCCUGCAAGAAAGCAAAGCACUCCACAGAACAAAGCUGUGGACUGCCAAAGCCUUAAGGCUCUCAUGGAGGGCUUUGGGGAAGCAGGGGCAAUUAGGAGUGAUUUUUUUCCACUGAUUGUUUGUAUCUAUCUGCCGUCCCCUCAUGAACGCUCUGGCCAGAAACAAAUGCAAGGAUAAGCAGAGAAAAAAGCAGAAUGGCUCAGGUGGGAAAUUCUGGCCUCUUGGAUAAACCUGGUUGGCUCCAAUGAGCAAACAGUGAAGGCAAGGAUGAAGAAUCUCUAUCCUACUUUACCCUUCCUUCUCGUGGUUUUCUCUCUAUCUGUUAUGAAGAAGAUCAAACAGGUCUGUCAUGUUACUGCAUAGAUGACCCUCCUUGUCAGAGUGCCAAGAAGUCAGGCUAAGCAGUAAAACAGGCGAGCUGACAGAUAACAGGCAGCAACCUCCUCUUUGCACCGCAGGCGGAUGUCACGGUGAGCACCUGCGGAAUACGUCUUCAUCCUGAAAAUGCCCCUGGCCCAAAGUCCACAAAAGAACCUGGAGACCUGGGAUGAACAAACAUCAUCCACAUUGGAAGUCUCUCACUUAGCAUGACUCCCUCAAACCAGGUUUGGUGACCUGAAACUGCUCUGUCAAAUGCCACUGUUAGACACAGCGUUCGUUGUGGUCGAUCAGAAGAGGUUACCUCUAGAGAGUAACUUUUGGUUAAAAUACAAAAGAUAAUAACCACUUUCAUGAUGGCUGACAGAGCUAAAGUCAACACUCGCAGCUGGAAGCCUCAACAACUCAAAACAACUCCAAUCAAACUUAGGACAGGAGCGCAGGGGUAACCCAGAUCUGGCAAUGGCCCACCACUGGUGCUGAUGCUGAGGUCACUGUCGUACUUGCUACACCAAAUCUAAACAACAAAAGAGCUUCUGAUCAGACAGUUCAUUUAGGAGGGCAAGGUCAGACUGAUACUGGAAUCCUAAUUUAUGCCAGACUGGGAGAAAAGAAAUUAAAAAAAAAAAAAAAAUUGAAGAUAGUUUUCCAAGUCUGGCUUGGAUGACAAUAAAGUUCUGUGAGAGAACUGUUUUGGAGAGAUUUUGUUUCAGACUGAGUGCCCUGUCACAAGGUCAAUGCUUAACAGCUUGCCAAUACACUGACUUUAUUUCCAUUAGCAACACUACAGACCCUUAAUAACCCACCUACCUGCCUGCGUGGACUCAUGGUUUCCAUGAACUGAACUGCUGAGCUAAUAUUAAAAGAAAAACUUAAGGACAUGCAAACCCUGAGCCAUCCCUGCCCUUCCAGCCCAAAAACAACCAGCCAGCAGCACAGCCUGUAAUGGUACUGCCAUACUGCUGAGAGCAAACACAAGUUCUUGUUUGCUCCAGAAGCUCCAUCCACAGAGCAGAGUAAAUCAGCAACGCCGGCAGCUCUGGGCCACACACCCCACACAGAUCAAAGGCAGGAGGAAGAGUGGAGGCCCAUCUCUGUUAUGUGCCCCCUAUAAAAUUAAUGGUUAUGUGAAGGGGACUGCACAGUCUUAUGUAAACACUCAUCAGUGAGCUGCAGGGACACAGUCUUGGCUGCAGUAAGUCAAUCGGGGAGAGACCAUCCAGGGUCGGCUUCAAAUGUCGAGAUCAUCUGUGUGACCGAGAGAAAGAGAAGCCCUCAGACAGAGUCAUUUCCAAAAGCAACAUCAUCUUGCAUGGGCUAGAGGAGGAGGAGGAGGAGGAGCAAAGAUGUCCUAAAGACAGCAGGAAGGGAGGAGGUGCUGCUGGAUAAGCUGUUGCAAAGCGUAGGGGAUUUUACAAAGCAAAAUAAAGCUUCAGCAAAAUGUUUUGGUCAUAUUCUGUCGCAGUGAUAAAUGGCAAGGUGGAGCAGAAGUUCUAAAGUGGCUUGAUCCUUAAUACAAGUAGUAAAUUACUGCACAUUAGAGGAAGGAGUGGGUAAAGGAGGAUGGAGAUAACUUGAGCCUCAACAGCUCCAACAGUUGGCAGUGUGGUGAGCUUGGCCCUGGCCAAAGCUCUGGCAGAGCUGUUCUGGCCUGGAGAGGGAUGCUGACAACCCUGCAAGCCAAGAGAAUGAAUCCAUAAGUUGGCCAGGCUGCCUGGGCCCCUUUACAAAAGCCACCUGAACUGCAGCAGAGUCACCACACCACUGCUGCAUGUAGUGCCUGUGUCACGUGUGUCUUGCAGGCACAGCCAGCUUGGGCCAACCACGUGGAAACAGGCCUGCCUGCCCCCACGUGGGCCAGGUCUCAGUGGCAAACUCCAAAGAGCUCCAAAAACAACCAGGAGCCAACAAUCUUGACAGCCACAAGUACAAAUUGCACCUAUUGGGGGUUCCUCCUCUCCUCACAGCAGACUCUUUUGGGGUGAGACAGAGGUGGGGCUGCAUAGGAGAUGAGCUAGACCCCCUUUGCAUAUAAACAGUCAACACAGAAAGGAUGAGUCAACAGAGAAGCGAUAAAAGCUACCGUGAACAUUUCCAAGCCCAUUCCACAGCGAAGCCCAGCCAGCAGACAGACCCAGAGCUUCCAGAUCACCAAAUUCCUCGGCUUUGCACAGACAGAGAACCCACACUUGUAAUUAGCACCUCCAGAUCCUGUGUGUUUUGAACCUGAUGUUGCUGGGACCGGAGCGAUGCCGGCGCUGGCACGCGGGCUGCAGCACGACCGUCCGCCCACGACGGGCUGCUCAGGAAGCAUCUCUCCGUGCCGGCGCCUCGCUGGAAGGCACUGGAGGGCUGUAAGUGACUGCAAGCGCUGUUUAUCCAGCUGUGAGGCUUGUGGAGCAGCGGGGGAUGGAAGGAGGGGACGGAGAAAACGUGUCAGGAGUGGACGAGUGGGAGGAAGCAGUGGUCUCCUGCAAAGAGGAGACCUCCAGAGUACCUUUGAAACUGAACAUUGAGAAAACAAAGAAUUCUUGUAGGGGUACCCAAGGUCCCUCCAAACAUAUGGCCUCUGGAAAUCAGCACCAUCUGCACUGUCCCUUCUCAGCUGCUCUGGUAUUUAUGCAGACAGGAAACUUCCUUAAAGAAGCUCUGCCUUUCCGUAGCCCGAGUGAGCAAACGAGCAGCCACCUAAGGGUAGGCCACCUUCCUGCACGUACAGAAAGACCACACCUGUGCUGAACAGCAAGGCCAGGCCACAGAGCCCUCUGCUCACUUGAUCAUCCUCAUGGCCCGUUCAACCAGCAACUGACCACAACAGAAGUGCAACGAUUCCUUUUCUCUCAGCCACUAAGAGGGAUAAAAUGCCACCCUCCACGUUGUAGCCUCUUUGGCCUCAGAAAAGGAGAAGCUUAGCUUUGUAAGCAGGUCAAAUUUAUCCUAGCCUGGAGAGUCUCACGUUCCAGACUAUCAGAUGUUAAAAGCUGGACUUAAGAGGAGCAAGUUUGGUGAGAGGCCUUCUGCUGAUGACAGAGAUAUUCUCCAGCUUGAGAUGGCAGGGCUCUCCAGACCAAGAGGAUCACUGAAAUGAUCCCAUCCACUUACGGGCAUUUCCUGAAGUCUGGAAAAGUGUCCAUUUUCAAAAGGUUCCCAAAUGCUGUUGCUUAUUUUUUUCCCUCUAAUUUCUUGGAUUCAGGCAGUACAGUGUCUGCAUAUCUUCCAGCUUGCUCCAAGAGCUCACAUACAAGGGUUUUAUUUUUUCCCUCUUGUACAGCAUACACAAGACAAGGAGGAGAGAGAGGGAGCAUGAAGAAAUUAUUGUUGCUUACUUGGGUCAUGCCCACUACACACUCCGGCAGCAGGGAAGAUGUAAACAUGUAAUCCAUCCCUGUGAGGAAAUCCAGCCAUUUCACAGACCCAGAAGCCAGCCUUAGGGAGUUAGAGAGAUACAGUUACUUCCUGACAUUCAGGGCUAUGUUAAUUGAUAACAAGAUAGCUGUGGCCAGGCAAUUAGUUAUGAAAUGCUGAUUAAAAUGUCAGCUGCCUGAGCACGACCUUACCCAGGGUGGCAUGGAACCCCUAAUUCAUGGUUCCAUGAGCAUUCAGUGCAGACUGACCCCAUUUCAGAGCAGGAUACCCCAGCUGGGUGCAUGGAGCACAAACAAUGGGUUUGGGCUGUUUUAAACACUGGCCAUGCUGCAGUUUUCACACAACAGAUCCAGAGUACUCAUGUUCUUCUAGAUCCAACUUCCCUACCUCCAUCAGGGGAUAAAUGAUACAAGGGGAGGCGGAGGGAACAUUAACUCAGAGAACUUCAAAUGAAAAGGCAAAAAUGCCAUGUGCCCUGCCAUAAUUCAUCAUUAUUAGCUGUAGCUGGAAUUAAUGACAAAAAAAUCUUGAAAAUAAUAAUACAUUUUUUAGCACUGACAACCCAAAGCACAACCUCCAGUAAUUUUGUUUCAGGUUUUGUCAGCAGUGGCAGACAAUCCAUGUGGAUAACUCACUCCAGAGAGCAGAAGGCCCUUGCAAAAGGCCAGGCUCCCCAUCCCUAAAACAUUCCCCUCUUGGCUACACCCUUGCAGAGUGACAAGAGGCUCUUCAAAGGAUUGCAGAAAUGUUGGACAGUGAAAGGACCAUCAGGAUUUCACUGCCAAAAAAUCUGACCAACGCUAAGCUGAGGCACCAGGUUAUGCCAGUCAUUCAAGCUCGCCCCCAAAAUCAAACCCAUGACAUCACCGAGACUCGGCAGCUAAUAUCAGCAGCUGUUGAGGAUAAAAGUCACUGCUCAGGCACUCUGAGCAUCCCAGCACACCACCACCACCACCACCACCAGCCCAAGCCAAGCAGAAGGCCGCAAGCAUAGCACCAAAAAAAGUCCAGAGGAUCCUAUGGUCAAGGUGAAGACCCACAGAAAAAUUAACGUGAUUAAGCAUUAGUCUCAAAAAUGAAAGAGGGGGUCUGAUAAUGGAGUUUAAUCUCAGAUGCAUCUCCAAACAUCUCUGCUUGUUUCAAAACAAGGACAAUGGGAGCCAGUCAGCCUCCAGAGCCAGAAGAAUCUGAUAAGGGAGUAAGAAGGUGGCAUCUGAAAGCUCUGGGGAGAUCCAAACCAGUUUGAAAAUUGCAGCUGGUUGUUCAAGAGGAGUCUGUCAUUUCUGCAUCGAGGAGCUGGCCGCUUCUCCAGCGCUCGGCCAAGCCCUGCACAAGCCCUAUUCCUCAGAGAGCUGCAGAAUUAGGAAGGGAACCACAAGGAAAACAUGGCCACAGUAAAUCAUGGCUGGGUAAAGCAAAAACCAAAAUCCAUGGCAUUUUUACUUCCUGCUGAAAACAACAAUCUCUCUCAUAAUGUGGUUGACUGGGAAAAAUAGAAAGUUGGACCUUACUAUAGCUAAUAAUUAUCUGAAUAAAUUCUCUGCUCAUGCACUUCAAAUGCAAAUGGCACACUUUAUUCACUUGGCAAAUUACAUAAUUCAUUUUAAUGCUAUAUAAUUUUUGCUAUUAGCAGCUGAUUUUAAUAACUAGCACACUGUUACUUUUUUUUCCCCCCUAAUUUUUGUUUUUCUUCUCUCUUUUCCAUCUGCUAACUCUUUUCUUCUUCCUUCCUCCUUCCAAAAUACUUUGCAACUUUUAUAAUAGCAAAUUCUGUCACCUACCCAGGGACGAACAAAAGACCAUUGUGUUCAAUUUAUCUUUUAAUAGACUCCUUCCUUAAAUACC